UACGGGGGGGCAAGCGUUGUUCGGAAUUACUGGGCGUAAAGGGCUCGUAGGCGGCCAACUAAGUCGGAUGUGAAAUCCCCAGGCUCAACCUGGGAACUGCAUCCGAUACUGGAUGGCUUGAAUUCGGGAGAGGGAUGCAGAAUUCCAGGUGUAGCGGUGAAAUGCGUAGAUAUCUGGAGGAACACCGGUGGCGAAGGCGGGUCUCUGGGCCGUAACUGACGCUGAGGAGCGAAAGCGUGGGUAGCAAACAGG
rnacentral:rRNA from 1 species